GUGGCAGCCGCNGCGGUAAUACGGAGGAUCCAAGCGUUAUCCGGAAUCAUUGGGUUUAAAGGGUCCGUAGGCGGUUUAAUAAGUCAGUGGUGAAAUCUGGUCGCUCAACGAUCAAACGGCCAUUGAUACUGUUAGACUUGAAUACUGGGAAGUAACUAGAAUAUGUAGUGUAGCGGUGAAAUGCUUAGAUAUUACAUGGAAUACCAAUUGCGAAGGCAGGUUACUACCAGUUGAUUGACGCUGAUGGACGAAAGCGUGGGGAGCGAACAGGAUUAGAUACCCUGGUAGUCCACGCCGUAAACGAUGGAUACUAGCUGUUGGGGGCAACUUCAGUGGCUAAGCGAAAGUGAUAAGUAUCCCACCUGGGAGUACGUUCGCAAGAAUGAAACUCAAAGGAAUUGACGG
rnacentral:rRNA from 1 species